AGCAAAAUGAUGAGGUUUAUAAUCUGAAAUUCAUGUUGAAUCCUUAUUUCAAAUGGUCUUCAAAGUUCUCUGAUUGCU
rfam:Lupinus angustifolius cultivar Tanjil chromosome LG11, whole genome shotgun sequence.